ACCUGGCUGGCUUAAUCAGUAAAGCGUGCAACUCAUGAUCUUGGGGUUGUGAGUUCAAGCCCCAUGUUAGGUG
rnacentral:tRNA from 1 species